rnacentral:rRNA from 1 species
CUAGCUAACUGAAAUCUCAUUGGGUUUUAGGNCAAAAGAAAUCUAUAAUUUAACGGCAUAUAGCGGGUUACUUAAGAUAAGGUUAGGGAUAAUUAUGAUAUUACCUUUCUAUAGUGUUGUCAAAAGUUGUUUUGUGUUGUGGGAAAACACAUGAGCGGCUUAAACUAUCAAACUCCGGGGACACCCUAAAGCUUCAAAUACCAAACUAUCUCCGAAAGGUUUUACGUGGAUGAAUUAAUUACUCAUGUAUGGUAAUAAGUUUGAAGAUGAGUGAAAACGAAAUGGGUUAUCGCGGAUCUAAGUCAACCAAAUUGGUUGUAAAAGAGCAACGAGUAGACGGUAGUUGGUUUCUAAAUAGAAGAUUUAUUUUAAAUAGAAACUUAAGGUGUACUCUANUGGGCUUCGAAAGAAGUUAUCCAGUUCNAAUCCCUNCUNACCA